UACGAAGGGGGCGAGCGUUGUUCGGAAUUACUGGGCGUAAAGGGCGCGCAGGCGGCCUUAGAAGUCAGAUGUGAAAGCCCCGGGCUCAACCUGGGAAUGGCAUUUGAUACUCUGAGGCUGGAGUACGGGAGAGGAGAGUGGAAUUCCCAGUGUAGAGGUGAAAUUCGUAGAUAUUGGGAAGAACACCGGUGGCGAAGGCGGCU
rnacentral:rRNA from 1 species